ACUUAAUGGAGGGAAAAUGUUUCGGGUCACUGGCUCUCUCCUCUCCCCACCUCCAGGAAAAAAAAAAAAAUCUUUUCUUGGCUCUCCCAUGUCCCAAACUUGCCAGGCUACAUUGCAAGCCGAACAGCAGCGUGGGCCCCUGGAGGAUUCCCGUCCUCCCCUCCUCUCUGUCCCCAGCAGUCGGAGUUGGAAGAAGUUACAGGAAAACAAGUGGAGGGAAACAAGGCUGGAGGAAAACGCUGCUAUUUUUUUCUUGGGGUGGGGGGCAGGUUUGCUGGCUCUUGAUUGCUGCAAGCAGGCUUUUCUCUAGUUGUGGCGAGAGGGGGCUGCUCUAGUUGCAGUGCGAGGACUUCUCAUUGCAGUGACUUCUCUUAUUGCAGAGCACAGGCUCCAGGGUGUGCGGGCUUCAACAGUUGUGGUGCAUGGGCUUAGUUGCUGCGUGGCAUGGGAGAUCUCCCCGGACUAGGGAUCAGACCCAUGUCCCUUGCAUUGGCAGGUAGAUUCUUAAAACUGGACCACCAGAGAAGUCUAGCACUGCUAUUUCAGAGUCAGUAAAAUCAGUCUCUCACCACUUUGUUCUCCCACUUCACCGUCCCCGUUUGAUCUCAACAUUGUGGUGCCUGGCCAUGGU
ensembl:lncRNA